rnacentral:tRNA from 1 species
GAUCUCGUUGUGUAGUGGUUAUCACAUAUGUCUAACACACAGAGAAGGUCGGCGGUUCGAGUCCGCCCGAGAUCA